CCCUUCUCAGAAUGGCACCUGGAGAGUUUCCAGUACUCUACCAGUCUCAGCUACGGGAGGGAGAGUUAAGAGGGGCAUACCCAUUCCAUUCCUAGCUUGGGCAGUGGCUAGUGAGUGGAAGACAAUCUGCUACAAGU